AUUGAACGCUGGCGGCAGGCCUAACACAUGCAAGUCGAGCGGAUGAAGGGAGCUUGCUCCUGGAUUCAGCGGCGGACGGGUGAGUAAUGCCUAGGAAUCUGCCUGGUAGUGGGGGAUAACGUCCGGAAACGGGCGCUAAUACCGCAUACGGCCUGAGGGAGAAAGGGGGGGCUCUUCGGACCUCACGCUAUCAGAUGAGCCUAGGUCGGAUUAGCUAGUUGGUGGGGUAAAGGCCUACCAAGGCGACGAUCCGUAACUGGUCUGAGAGGAUGAUCAGUCACACUGGAACUGAGACACGGUCCAGACUCCUACGGGAGGCAGCAGUGGGGAAUAUUGGACCAUGGGCGAAAGCCUGAUCCAGCCAUGCCGCGUGUGUGAAGAAGGUCUUCGGAUUGUAAAGCACUUUAAGUUGGGAGGAAGGGCAGUAAGUUAAUACCUUGCUGUUUUGACGUUACCAACAGAAUAAGCACCGGCUAACUUCGUG
rnacentral:rRNA from 1 species